ensembl:lncRNA
AUCAUACCUCUCUGCCUCCUGUCUCCACUCUCCCUUAACAGCUUAUCUCUGCAUCUCUCUCACAUUCACCGCUACAUUAUCCCAUCAGCCAUCUCUCUAUCACAUUCACCGUUACAUUAUCCCAUCAGCCAUCUCUCACAUUCACCGCUACAUUAUCCCAUCAGCCAUCUCUCACAUUCACCGCUACAUUAUCCCAUCGGCCAUCUCUACCCUCUACAUUAUCCCAUCAGCCAUCUCUCUCACAUUCACUGCUACAUUAUCCCAUCGGCCAUCUCUACCCUCUACAUUAUCCCAUCAGCCAUCUCUCACCUCUACAUUAUCCCAUCGGCCAUCUCUCACAUUCACCGCUACAUUAUCCCAUCGGCCAUCUCUCACAUUCACCACUACAUUAUCCCAUCGGCCAUCUCUCACAUUCACCGCUACAUUAGCCCAUCGGCCCUCUCAUUCACCGCUGCAUUAUCCCAUCGGACAUCUCUCACAUUCACCGCUGCAUUAUCCCAUCGGACAUCUCUCACAUUCACCUCUGCAUUAUCCCACCGACCAUCUCUCACAUUCACCUCUGCAUUAUCCCAUCGGCCAUCUCUCUCACAUUCACCGCUACAUUAUCCCAUCGGCCAUCUCUCUCUCACAUUCACCGCUACAUUAUCCCAUCGGCCAUCUCUCUCUCACAUUCACCUCUACAUUAUCCCAUCAGCCAUUUCCUCCCCUCUGCCAGUGUCUGAAAGUGUUCCUGAUCCACAGACAUACUUCCUCACCUGGGCCCAAAAAACAACAUUUCAGGAGAGAAUUUCUACAGAUGUUCUUUUGAUUGACAUGAGCUGUGUAUGUGUGUGAAUGACAUUCUACUAUGUAUGUAAAUGCAAAGCGUAUUAUUGUUGUUUUUUUCUCCUGUUGUGGGGCUCUGACUGUAUGUAUAAAGAUCAUGUCAUUGUUUUAGCCAAAAGCAUGGUUUUUAAGAAACUUUAUUUUUCUUUUUUUCCACGUUUUCUUUACAGAAUGUCCAGUUAUAUAAUGUAUGAAACAAUUAAAGUGCUGAUUCGUUGGAAUUUGAAUAAGUCUCCUUUUAUCUAUUCAUUUAUGCCAUAAAUGGUUGUCUGCUGGGAUUUUGUGCGUGCUCAUUUUACAUUCACUAGAUAAAGCCAGAGUAAUGCUGAAGUGCCAUUGUCGUGUUGUCUCUAUGCUGUGUGUCUUGAGGGUUGGUAUCAGAUUACACAUUGUGUAUUAAAACCAUUUUUGAGUUUUAUUUUUUUAUCUAUAGCAGUCUGUAUCCUGUAAAUGUAGGAGAGUGUUCCUAUUAGUGUAGGUAUACAUAAACUCAGCAAAAACAAAUAUCUCACUGUCAACUGUGUUUUAUUUUCAGCUAACUUAACGUGUGUAAAUGUCAUAUGAACAUCAGAUUCAACAACUGAGACAUAAACUGAACAAGUUCCACAGACAUGUGACUAACAGAAAUUGAAUAAUGUGUCCCUGAACAAAGAGGGGGUCAAAAGUAACAGUCAGUAUCUGGUGUGGCCACCAGCUGCGUUAAGUACUGCAGUGCAUCUCCUCCUCAUGGACUGCACCAGAUUUGCCGGUUCUUGCUGUGAGAUGUUACCCCACACUUCCACCAAGGCACCUGCAAGUUUCCAGACAUUUCUGGGGGGGAAUGGCCCUAGCCCACACCCUCCAAUCCAACAGGUCCCAGACGUGCUCAA